ensembl:snoRNA small nucleolar RNA Z17
GGUGCAAAUGAUGGUAAAUGCGAUCAAAGUAUGAAAAACCAUGAUUCAGUUUUAAAACACUGAUGCACU